rnacentral:rRNA from 1 species
CCUACGGGUGGCAGCAGUGGGGAAUAUUGCACAAUGGGGGAAACCCUGAUGCAGCGACGCCGCGUGAGUGAAGAAGUAUUUCGUUAUGUAAAGCUCUAUCAGCAGGGAAGAAAAUGACGGUACCUGACUAAGAAGCCCCGGCUAACUACGUGCCAGCAGCCGCGGUAAUACGUAGGGGGCAAGCGUUAUCCGGAUUUACUGGGUGUAAAGGGAGCGUAGACGGCAGUGCAAGUCUGGAGUGAAAGGCCGGGGCUCAACCCCCGGACUGCUCUGGAAACUGUACGGCUGGAGUGCAGGAGAGGUAAGUGGAAUUCCUAGUGUAGCGGUGAAAUGCGUAGAUAUUAGGAGGAACACCAGUGGCGAAGGCGGCUUACUGGACUGUAACUGACGUUGAGGCUCGAAAGCGUGGGGAGCAAACAGGAUUAGAUACCCCAGUAGUC